CUUGGUUUUAGAGGAAGGAGAAGUCGUAACAAGGUUUCCGUAGGUGAACCUGCGGAAGGAUCAUUGUCGUGACCCUAAACAAAACAGACUGUGAACCUGUCAUCAAAGUCGUCGGGCUUCGGCUCGACUAAGGCCCUUGACUUCGUCCUGGAGGAGAGGGCCGCAAAAGAACCCACGGCGCCAAAGGCGUCAAGGAACACUUAUUGCCUUGCUCGGGGAUGUGGUCGGCCUGCCGGCCGCACCCCGUGCAGCGAUGCUAUGUUAACCAAAACGACUCUCGGCAACGGAUAUCUCGGCUCUC
rnacentral:misc_RNA from 1 species